AUGGAGUUUCACUCUUAUGGCCCAGGCUGGAGUGCAAUGGCGUGAUCUCAGCUCACCACAACCUCUGCCUCCCGGGUUCAAGUGGUUCUCCUACCUCAGCCUCCUGAGUAGCUGCGAUUACAGAUACAUAGCUCUGGCCAAGAAGUGUGGUUUUGAAGAGCCCAAACUGUAUCUGUUACCUGAUUUCAAAGAAUAUUCCACCUAGGAGAGACCCAGGUCCUGCAGACUUCCUCUGGACACUUUUGGCAGUCAUUGUUCCCAGCUGAUUCUGCAACAGAUGAAGGACGGAGGAUAGAAUCAUGAAUAGCAACAUCUUAAUUGCUGACUGGGUGUUGAUUCUAAGGAUACCCCCAAUAAACAUCUUUCGUGCUAAAGCCCAUUCCAGAAUUUACUUCCCAGCUAUCUUUGAUGUUCAUAUUGUCAGAGGUGGUGGCCGCUGAAACAGGCAAAGACAUGGAGCAUAUCUUGGGUCCAGGACCUUGGGAGUCCAGAGGAAGGUCUUUUUACCAUCAGCAUUCUCUACUGUGUUCAAUGACUGUCAGCCAAAGAUGGCCAGGUUCUCUACUGUGAUGGUGAAUUUUAUGUGUCAAUUUGACUGGACCAUGGGAUGCCCAGCUUUCCUUCAGAAAGAAAUGCAUUCAAAGAACCUACAUUCACAACAUAAAGAAAUAAAGCCUGCACCUACAGAUCUACACACAUGCCCAUGCACAUGCAGGAAGUGUUCAUCUAAGACUGGACCUUUUAGAAGAAAGCUGGCAUACAUUCGUGAAGGCAUGGGCUUCCAGGCAUGUCAUCUUCACUCACGAAGCACACACAAGACCGCCAAGCAUUAAGAUUCUCCUGUGGAGCCAGGCUACAAUCCUUUAAAUGAAGACAGACAGCUAGGUGGCUGCAGCCCAGCGCUACACCUCACCCCUCCCUCAGUGUCAUGCAGAAAAAAUGUAUUCAGAACUCAGAAGUGAAGUUGUGCAAAUCCAUCAUUGACACUAGCUUCAAGGUUACCUCGGGGGAGCAGAAUGUACCCCUGCCAGAGAGCUGGAUAGAUGAUGAUGGGGACAGAAAUUCUGGGGGAGUUGUAAAUGGCAGCCACUGCCUCUAUAGGAAACCCAAAGGGAACACAGCAGAAGAGGAGGUGGUGGAGGAGCCACUGCCCUCUCGAAGGGUUCAAUGUCAUUCUGCAGACACAACCAAAUAACUUUUUCUUCCCUGCUGCUCCUCCAUUUGAAAUGACAGCCCCGAGCUCGCUUUUUCCUUGAUUGUGUAACUCUGAUUACAGACAAGGCCAAGGCAAUCCCAGGGCAUUACUACAAAGCUAAGGGGUCCCCAAAGAACUAAAGAGUCAGCUCCACAAAAAUCCCGAUUCCUAGCAUGAAACUGAAAUAUGAAACCAAACGGGCAUAGAAAAGGUAUGUGCAUUCGAAUCACAUAGCAGUGACUGGAGUCCUGAGCUGUGUCUGAAGACUGUGAGAUCACGUUUGGAGCUGCUGAUUGGUUUUCAGUGAUGGCCCUGUUGCACAGUGCCGUGAGACUUAGCUCCAUGGCCAAAGACGAUGGUAUCCCCUAGGAGCCCUGUGAGGUUGCUGCUGUUCUCUUAAGACACCAGGUAGCCAUCUGAUCCUCCCUGAGCAAACUAACUGGGCAGACAGGUUUAUUAAACCUCUGUUGGUCCGACUUACAUGAAACAAGAGAGUUAUUUUGUUGUUGUUGUUUUGUUUUGUUUUAAAUUAAACCUGUCUUUGGAGCCUCCUGCUCUUAGUUUACAAGUCUUCUUUGCACACUCUAAUAUUUUAAGAAGCAGCAAACAUUAACUGAGGGUCUA
rnacentral:lncRNA from 10 species